GAUGAACGCUGGCGGCGUGCCUAAUACAUGCAAGUCGAGCGAACAGACGAGGAGCUUGCUCCUCUGACGUUAGCGGCGGACGGGUGAGUAACACGUGGAUAACCUACCUAUAAGACUGGGAUAACUUCGGGAAACCUGAGCUAAUACCGGAUAAUAUAUUGAACCGCAUGGUUCAAUAGUGAAAGACGGUUUUGCUGUCACUUAUAGAUGGAUCCGCGCCGCAUUAGCUAGUUGGUAAGGUAACGGCUUACCAAGGCGACGAUGCGUAGCCGACCUGAGAGGGUGAUCGGCCACACUGGAACUGAGACACGGUCCAGACUCCUACGGGAGGCAGCAGUAGGGAAUCUUCCGCAAUGGGCGAAAGCCUGACGCAGCAACGCCGCGUGAGUGAAGAAGGUCUUCGGAUCGUAAAGCUCUGUUAGUAGGGAAGAACAAAUGUGUAAGUAAAUAUGCAUGUCUUGACGGUACCUACUCAGAAAGCCACGGCUAACUACGUG
rnacentral:rRNA from 1 species